GAUGAACGCUGGCGGCGUGCCUAAUACAUGCAAGUCGAGCGAACGGACGAGAAGCUUGCUUCUCUGAUGUUAGCGGCGGACGGGGGAGUAACACGUGGAUAACCUAUCUAUAAGACUGGGAUAACUUCGUGAAACCGUAGCUAAUACCGGAUAAUAUUUUGAACCGCAUGGUUCAAAAGUGAAAGACGGUCUUGCUGUCACUUAUAGAUGGAUCCGCGCUGCAUUAGCUAGUUGGUAAGGUAACGGCUUACCAAGGCAACGAUGCAUAGCCGACCUGAGAGGGUGAUCGGCCAAACUGGAACUGAGACACGGUCCAGACUCCUACGGGAGGCAGCAGUAGGGAAUCUUCCGCAAUGGGCGAAAGCCUGACGGAGCAACGCCGCGUGAGUGAUGAAGGUCUUCGGAUCGUAAAACUCUGUUAUUAGGGAAGAACAUAUGUGUAAGUAACUGUGCACAUCUUGACGGUACCUAAUCAGAAAGCCACGGCUAACUACGUG
rnacentral:rRNA from 1 species